AGCGAACGCUGGCGGCAGGCCUAACACAUGCAAGUCGAACGAACCUUUCGGGGUUAGUGGCGGACGGGUGAGUAACACGUGGGAACGUGCCUUUAGGUUCGGAAUAACUCAGGGAAACUUGUGCUAAUACCGAAUGUGCCCUUCGGGGGAAAGAUUUAUCGCCUUUAGAGCGGCCCGCGUCUGAUUAGCUAGUUGGUGGAGGGAAUGGCUCACCAAGGCGACGAUCAGUAGCUGGUCUGAGAGGAUGAUCAGCCACAUUGGGACUGAGACACGGCCCAAACUCCUACGGGAGGCAGCAGUGGGGAAUCUUGCGCAAUGGGCGAAAGCCUGACGCAGCCAUGCCGCGUGAAUGAUGAAGGUCUUAGGAUUGUAAAAUUCUUUCACCGGGGACGAUAAUGACGGUACCCGGAGAAGAAGCCCCGGCUAACUUCGUG
rnacentral:rRNA from 1 species